CGCGGCCUAUCAGCUUGUUGGUGGGGUUGUGGCCUACCAAGGCGACGACGGGUAGCCGGCCUGAGAGGGUGUCCGGCCACACUGGGACUGAGACACGGCCCAGACUCCUACGGGAGGCAGCAGUGGGGAAUCUUGCGCAAUGGGCGGAAGCCUGACGCAGCGACGCCGCGUGGGGGAUGAAGGCCUUCGGGUUGUAAACCUCUUUCAGCGGGGAAGAAGCGAAAGUGACGGUACCUGCAGAAGAAGCACCGGCUAACUACGUGCCAGCAGCCGCGGUAAUACGUAGGGUGCAAGCGUUGUCCGGAAUUAUUGGGCGUAAAGAGCUCGUAGGUGGCUUGUCACGUCGGGUGUGAAAUCCCGGGGCUUAACCCCGGGUCUGCAUUCGAUACGGGCUGGCUAGGGUCCUUCAGGGGAGACUGGAAUUCCUGGUGUAGCGGUGAAAUGCGCAGAUAUCAGGAGGAACACCGGUGGCGAAGGCGGGUCUCUGGGAAGGUACCGACGCUGAGGAGCGAAAGCAUGGGGAGCAAACAGGAUUAGAUACCCUGGUAGUCCAUGCCGUAAACGUUGGGCGCUAGGUGUGGGGAGCAUUCCACGUUCUCUGUGCCGUAGCUAACGCAUUAAGCGCCCCGCC
rnacentral:rRNA from 1 species